UACGUAGGGUGCGAGCGUUGUCCGGAUUUAUUGGGCGUAAAGAGCUCGUAGGCGGUUUGGCAAGUCGGGUGUGAAAACUCCGGGCUCAACUCGGAGACGCCACUCGAUACUGCUAUGACUCGAGUCCGGUAGGGGAGUGCGGAAUUCCUGGUGUAGCGGUGAAAUGCGCAGAUAUCAGGAGGAACACCGGUGGCGAAGGCGGCACUCUGGGCCGGAACUGACGCUGAGGAGCGAAAGCGUGGGGAGCGAACAGG
rnacentral:rRNA from 1 species